UGCAAGCGUUAAUCGGAAUUACUGGGCGUAAAGGGUGCGUAGGCGGUUGUUUAAGUCUGUCGUGAAAUCCCCGGGCUCAACCUGGGAAUGGCGAUGGAUACUGGGCAGCUAGAGUGUGUCAGAGGAUGGUGGAAUUCCCGGUGUAGCGGUGAAAUGCGUAGAGAUCGGGAGGAACACCAGUGGCGAAGGCGGCCUUCUGGACCAAUACUGACGCUCAUGCACGAAAGCGUGGGGAGCAAACAGG
rnacentral:rRNA from 1 species